AAAAUAUAAUAAAUAGUAUAAAUUAUAGAAUUUAGUAAAUUAUUAAAUUUUUAAACGCAUAUUACGCCUCUUAGUAUUUUAUAGGGUAUGCCUAUUUAAGCGUUAUUUAUAUUCUUAAGCUUUACUUAGUGUUAGGUGUCUAUCUUACCUUUGUGCGUAGACUUAUCCUAAAUAUAUUAAUAGUAGUCUUUACUUUUUUCUGUGUAGUAUAUUGCGCUUCUUAAGGCUAUGGCGGCCUACGUCUAAUAAGCUAAACCCCCUUGUCUUUAACCUUAGAUUGGGUAGGGAUACCUACUAAAUUUAAGC
rnacentral:misc_RNA from 1 species